rnacentral:rRNA from 1 species
CCUACGGGAGGCUGCAGUGAGGAAUAUUGGUCAAUGGUCGGGAGACUGAACCAGCCAAGCCGCGUGAGGGAUGAAGGUCCAGAGUAUCGUAAACCUCUUUUGUCAGGGAACAAAGGCGGGGACGUGUCCCCGGCUGAGUGUACCUGAAGAAAAAGCAUCGGCUAACUCCGUGCCAGCAGCCGCGGUAAUACGGAGGAUGCGAGCGUUAUCCGGAUUUAUUGGGUUUAAAGGGUGCGCAGGCGGUCUGUUAAGUCAGCGGUCAAAGCCCGGGGCUCAACCCCGGCCCGCCGUUGAAACUGGCAGUCUCGAGUUGGAGAGAAGUAUGCGGAAUGCGCGGUGUAGCGGUGAAAUGCAUAGAUAUCGCGCAGAACUCCGAUUGCGAAGGCAGCAUGCCGGGUCCACACUGACGCUGAGGCACGAAAGCGUGGGGAUCGAACAGGAUUAGAUACCCGGGUAGUC